rnacentral:rRNA from 1 species
UACUCCUACGGGAGGCAGCAGUGGGGAAUUUUGGACAAUGGGCGAAAGCCUGAUCCAGCAAUGCCGCGUGUGUGAAGAAGGCCUUCGGGUUGUAAAGCACUUUUGUCCGGAAAGAAAUCCUUGACUCUAAUACAGUCGGGGGAUGACGGUACCGGAAGAAUAAGCACCGGCUAACUACGUGCCAGCAGCCGCGGUAAUACGUAGGGUGCAAGCGUUAAUCGGAAUUACUGGGCGUAAAGCGUGCGCAGGCGGUUUGCUAAGACCGAUGUGAAAUCCCCGGGCUCAACCUGGGAACUGCAUUGGUGACUGGCAGGCUAGAGUAUGGCAGAGGGGGGGGUAGAAUUCCACGUGUAGCAGUGAAAUGCGUAGAGAUGUGGAGGAAUACCGAUGGCGAAGGCAGCCCCCUGGGCCAAUACUGACGCUCAUGCACGAAGGCGUGGGGAGCAAACAGGAUUAGAUACCCUGGUAGUCCACGCCCUAAACGAUGUCAACUAGUUGUUGGGGAUUCAUUUCCUUAGUAACGUAGCUAACGCGUGAAGUUGACCGCCUGGGGAGUACGGUCGCAAGAUUAAAACUCAAAGGAAUUGACGGA